rnacentral:rRNA from 1 species
ACGGGUGAGUAAUGCUUGGGAAUCUGGCUUAUGGAGGGGGAUAACGACGGGAAACUGUCGCUAAUACCGCGUAGAAUCGAGAGAUGAAAGUGCGGGACCGCAAGGCCGCAUGCCAUGAGAUGAGCCCAAGUGGGAUUAGGUAGUUGGUGGGGUAAAGGCCUACCAAGCCGACGAUCUCUAGCUGGUCUGAGAGGAUGACCAGCCACACCGGGACUGAGACACGGCCCGGACUCCUACGGGAGGCAGCAGUGGGGAAUAUUGCGCAAUGGGGGCAACCCUGACGCAGCCAUGCCGCGUGAAUAAAGAAGGCCUUCGGGUUGUAAAGUUCUUUCGGUGACGAGGAAGGUUGUUGUGUUAAUAGCGCAACAAAUUGACGUUAAUCACAGAAGAAGCACCGGCUAACUCCGUGCCAGCAGCCGCGGUAAUACGGAGGGUGCGAGCGUUAAUCGGAAUAACUGGGCGUAAAGGGCACGCAGGCGGCUAUUUAAGUGAGGUGUGAAAUCCCCGGGCUUAACCUGGGAAUUGCAUUUCAGACUGGGUAGCUAGAGUACUUUAGGGAGGGGCAGAAUUCCACGUGUAGCGGUGAAAUGCGUAGAGAUGUGGAGGAAUACCGAAGGCGAAGGCAGCCCCUUGGGAAUGUACUGACGCUCAUGUGCGAAAGCGUGGGGAGCAAACAGGAUUAGAUACCCU